rnacentral:rRNA from 1 species
UACGGGGGGGGCAAGCGUUUGUUCGGAAUUACUGGGCGUAAAGGGCUCGUAGGCGGCCAACUAAGUCAGACGUGAAAUCCCUCGGCUUAACCGGGGGAACUGCGUCUGAUACUGGAUGGCUUGAGAUUGGGAGAGGGAUGCGGAAUUCCAGGUGUAGCGGUGAAAUGCGUAGAUAUCUGGAGGAACACCUGUGGCGAAGGCGGCCCCCUGGUUGGAUACUGACGCUGAGACGCGAAAGCGUGGGGGAGCAAACAGG